rnacentral:lncRNA from 1 species
GAAAGUGGGCUGGGAUGCCUGGGCAGGGAAGGGCAGAGCUGUGGCAGUGAUGGCCUUCAGAAGUGCCUUGCCUCCGGGCAGCCCACUGCACUUCUGGGUGGCACUAGGACCUAGUCCUUGGCCUCAUAGAUUGAUAACCUUAUAUCCUUCCUGCUUUAUCAUCAGGAGGGUCCUUUAUUUCAGUAGGGUGGCUCCUCUCUGUGAGACCCCAGUUUCUAGCCUUAUUUACCCUGUAUUCCCACUAGCAGCCUCCAACAGCCAGGCGAUUUCUUACCAUGAGCUGUGGGGACGGAGAUGCUGCCAGUAUUACCAGAAUCCAUUUUCCUCCCUGCCCUUCCCGUAGGGGUCACUGUAUGCCAGGAACCUGACACUGAGCUGCUUCUAGCCACCUCUAGUACUGCAAAGUAGUCAUCCAUUUCUCUUAGUGAAGACACUGGGUUACUUGACUGGGAUAUCACACUUCCUCCACCCUGAGGCUGUGGGUGCUCCCCCACCUUCUGCCAUCAUGGUGGGGAAAGUGCACACACCGGUUAGUGGGCUCCAAGGAUCACUACGCAGUUGAUCGGCGAGGGUAGAAGUUUUGAGACUCAAUUUUUGGAUUAGAAACCGAUGUAUUCGGAUGUGACGCACCAUUAUAACCGAGUCACUCAGGAGUCCAAGGCUAGCCUGCACUGUCUAGUGAGAGCCUGUCUCCAGAAUAAAGCAAAUUCAUGUCAA